UACUUCCUCCUGGUGGUUUGGGUAAUAACAACUCUAGUCGAUAAGCCAUUGGAGGGCAAGUCUGGUGCCAGCAGCCGCGGUAAUUCCAGCUCCAAUAGCGUAUAUUAACGUUGUUGCAGUUAAAAAGCUCGUAGUUGAAGUGUGGGUGAUCGCUGUUGUGAGACUUCGGUCUCUCGACAGUAAGUCACCCCCUUCCAGUAUCCAGUAGUGGGUAUUCACUUACUUACUACUGUGUGUUGGUCGUUUACUGUGAGAAAAUUAGAGUGUUCAAAGCAGGCGUUUGCUUGAAUAGAUUAGCAUGGAAUAAUAAUUGAAGGCUUUCGUGUUCGAUUUGAUUGGUUUGUUCAUGGAAGCAAGGUUAAAAGGAACAGUUGGGGGUAUUCAUAUUCACUAGUUAGAGGUGAAAUUCUUCGAUUUAUGGAA
rnacentral:rRNA from 1 species